GUGGGUGUAGCUCGGUGGUAGGGCGCAUGCUUGGCAUGCCUGAGGUCCUGGGUUCAAUCCCCAGUACCUCCA
rnacentral:tRNA from 1 species